rnacentral:lncRNA from 1 species
UAGUUUAUUGGAAAUUAGUUCAAAGAUUUUUAGCAAGUUGGACAUAGUAUUAACCACCAUGUACUUUCUCAAAACAGCUUUGAAACUCUUAGAACCUUGUCUCUUUUUACAUUUUAAAUUAAACAUUAGUCAGCCAAGCACAUUGGAAAAAAAUUUUGAAUUGUAGCCAUUUCUUUAAGGUGAAUCUUUAAUUUUAACUGUGACUAAUACUUCAAAAUGAAAUUAAACUAAUACUUCAAAAUGGAAUUACCCUUAGUGGGUAAUGGUUUUGAUUUGUUCCUAAGAAAAAAUAAUUCAUAGCUACAGAUUGGUUACAGUAUUAAUUAGUUAUUGCACCAGCAAGUACAAUAUUCAGAAAGAUGAGAAAGUACAAAACAUUAAAUAGCAGUAGCGUGGGGGCAAAAAAGAGAGAAGACUAGACAGAGAGAGGAGGAAAAAAGGAGCAAGUAUGGAGAGAAAAGGGAGAGAGAGGGAAAGUGGGAGGGAGGGAUGGAUGGAGAGAGGAAGAGAGAGAGAGAGAGAAAAGGAGUUAAGAGUGUACAAAAAAAGAAAACCCCGACUGUGAGCCUCUGCUCCCUCUACCCCAUCCUUGUUGAAAUUGUGUCAUUUCCAAGGGAUGAGCAGCUACUUUUCAGUUUUAAGCUAAUGCUUUCCCAGAAAAUGUUUUCUUUGCUCCCUAAAUUAUUGAUUGGGCUAUUAAGGGUCUAAAAUGAAAAUUUAAUUCAUUGUUAGAGUCUUCCCAAAGUUUGACCUCCUGGAACACACUGAUUGAGUUGCUGCAUUGCCAUCUGACUAAUUGAAGAGAGAGGAUGGAAGAGGAUGAGAGCAGAAAGUAAAUGCCUGUGGGCAGCAGGGGCAGACCCCUCUGUAGGCCUAGCUUUAUGUGAGGUUGGAAAUUGUUCUACACUGUCCUUACUGAGAAGGAUUAUAGGGUCUUACUGCCAGUCCCAGUUAGCAGGGAUGAAAUUGUCACUGGACUCUGCUCAGGGAUCAAGAGUGCCUGCCCUAACCCAUCGGUCACACAUAACCACUGAGAAAUUAGUGACCCACAUGCAGAGGGUACCCAGUCAUAAGCCCUUGUCAGGGCAUGGAAAAAGUCUGAGAGUCUGUCAGGUGCAGGGCAGUCUGGCAGCUGUGGAAAGGGCGGUAUUUGGUGUCAUAAAACCCUAGAUUUAGAUCCUUUCUCUGUCUCUUAAUGACAGUAAUCUCGAAAAAGAUAGUGUCUGUGUUCCUCAGUGUUCUCAUCUGUAGAAUGGAGAUGGUGAUAAAACAGUGAGGCAAAUAUGUGCAGAAUAGAUGCCAGGAAUGAAUCUGAGUCACAGCUGCAACCUAUGACACAGCCAUGGCAAUUCCAGAUCCUUAACUUGCUGCUCCACAGUGGGAACUCCCAUAAAGUUUAACUGUCACUGUGUUUACAAUUAUAUUUAUAUUGUUGGGGGAUAUGGGAUUAAGAUGGCGGAAUAGAAGGACUGGAGCUCAAGUUCUCUCCUAAAAACAACAAAAUUCACAACUAAAAGCUGAGCACUCUUCACCAAAAUGGACCGGAAACCUUAAAAAAGAUACCCUACUCAGAAGAAAAAGAGGAGGCCACAUCAAGAGGUAGGGGGGCGAUUUCACGAUAUAAACAACCCCAUACCUCCCGGGUGGGAAGCUCCACAGACUGAAAACUAACUGGUUCACAGAGAGAGACUCACUUACUGAUGUGAGAGUUCUGAGCCCCACAUCAAACCCUCAUGUGUGGGGAUCUGGCACUGGGAGAAAGAGCCCCUGGAUCAUCUGGCAUUGAAGGCCAGUGGGGCUUGUGUGCAGAAGCUCCACAGGACUGGGGGAAAUGGAGACCCCCAUUCUUAAAAGGUGCACACAUUCUUUCACAUGCACUGGAUCCCAGGGCAGAGCAAGGUCUCCAUAGGAAUCUGGGUCAAACCUGACUGCAGUUCUUGGAGGACAUCCUGGGAAAACAGGGGUGAAUGUGGCUUAUUGUGGGGGACAGACAUUGAAAGCAAAGCUCUGGGAAUAUUCAGCAGCUGCCUUUCUCUGGAGGUGGCCAUUUUGGGAAAAUCUGGCCUCAUCCAUCAGGCAGUGCUGAGAAGCCCCAGAGCAAACAACAAUCCAGGUGGGAUCAUAGUCCUACCCCUCAGUAAACAGGCUACCUAAAGACCCCUCACGCACACAGCUGCCUCUAAUCCCAUCCAGAGACUAAGCCCCACCCACCAGAGGGAUUAGAAUCAGCUCCACCUAUCAGUGGGCAGGCCUCAGCCCCUUGCAUCAGGAAGCAUACAGCAAGCACCCAUACAGACUUCAGCCACAAUGGGGGAGACACCAGAAGUAAGAGAGGAUACAACCCUAUUAUCUGUAAAAAGGUCACCACACCUAAAACCUAUAAACAUGAAAAGACAGAAAACUCUAAAAUGCAGAUGAGGGAGGAAGGAAAAACCCCAGAAAAUCAGCUAAGCAAUGAGGAGAUUCUCAGCCUCCAGGAAAAAGACUUUAGAUCAUUGAUGCUGAAGAUGAUGCAAGACAUUGGAAAUAAACUGGAGGCAAAGAUGGAUAACUUACAGGAAACACUGACCAAAGAGAUACAAGAUAUAAAACUUAAACAAGAAGAGAUGCAAAAUACAAUAACUGAAAUAAAAAAUUCACUAGAAGCAGCUAACAGCAGAAUACAGGAGGCAGAAGAACGAAUAAGCGAGGUGGAGGACAGAUUAGUGGAAAUUACGGAUGCAG